UCCGUAGGUGAACCUGCGGAGGGAUCAUUAAAGAGUUGCAAAACUCCCAAACCAUUGUGAACAUACCUUCAACGUUGCUUCGGCGGGUUGGCCCCGGUCUCCGGGGUCCCCCGGCCCUACUCGGGCGCCCGCCGGAGGUAUCUAACUCUUGAACUUUUAUGGCCUCUCUGAGUCUUUGUACUUAAUAAGUCAAAACUUUCAACAACGGAUCUCUUGGUUCUGGCAUCGAUGAAGAACGCAGCGAAAUGCGAUAAGUAAUGUGAAUUGCAGAAUUCAGUGAAUCAUCGAAUCUUUGAACGCACAUUGCGCCCGCCAGUAUUCUGGCGGGCAUGCCUGUUCGAGCGUCAUUUCAACCAUCAAGCCCCCGGCUUGUGUUGGGGACCUGCGGCUGCCGCAGGCCCUGAAAACCAGUGGCGGGCUCGCUAGUCACUCCGAGCGUAGUAAUACAUCUCGCUCAGGGCGUGCUGCGGGUUCCGGCCGUUAAAAAGCCUUAUUUACCCAAGGUUGACCUCGGAUCAGGUAGGAAGACCCGCUGAACUUAAGCAUAUCAAUAAGCGGAGGGAAGUCGGACUGGCCAAGGGGCACACCAGGGGGGGGGGAUA
rnacentral:rRNA from 1 species